rnacentral:rRNA from 1 species
AACGAACGCUGGCGGCAUGCCUAACACAUGCAAGUCGAACGAGACCUUCGGGUCUAGUGGCGCACGGGUGCGUAACGCGUGGGAACCUGCCCUUAGGUUCGGAAUAACUCCCCGAAAGGGGUGCUAAUACCGGAUAAUGUCUUCGGACCAAAGCUUUAUCGCCUUUGGAUGGGCCCGCGUUGGAUUAGCUAGUUGGUAGGGUAAAAGCCUACCAAGGCGACGAUCCAUAGCUGGUCUGAGAGGAUGAUCAGCCACACUGGGACUGAGAAACGGCCCAGACUACUACGGGAGGCAGCAGUGGGGAAUAUUGGACAAUGGGCGAAAGACUGAUCCAGCAAUGCCGCGUGAGUGAUGAAGGCCUUAGGGUUGUAAAGCUCUUUUACCCGGGAUGAUAAUGACAGUACCGGGAGAAUAAGCACCGGCUAACUCCGUG